rnacentral:rRNA from 1 species
AGAUUGAACGCUGGCGGCAUGCCUUACACAUGCAAGUCGAACGGCAGCACGGGGGCAACCCUGGUGGCGAGUGGCGAACGGGUGAGUAAUACAUCGGAACGUGCCCUGAAGUGGGGGAUAACGUAGCGAAAGUUACGCUAAUACCGCAUAUUCUGUGAGCAGGAAAGCAGGGGAUCGCAAGACCUUGCGUCUUUAGGAGCGGCCGAUGUCGGAUUAGCUUAGUUGGUAGAGGUAAAGGCUCACAAGGCGUACGAUCCGUAGCGGGUCUGAGAGGAUGAUCCGACCACACGUGGGACUGA